AUGGCUAUUCUGGGACAAUUUCUGAGCUUCAAAGGCUUGCAUUUUGGAUCAGUGCUGAGUUGUCUCUGUUUGGCAUUUGUGCUGGAAGCAGUCCCAGAAUUUCCAGGCUAUCUUAAGAAAGUCUUGAAGAACCAUACAGCGCAUGCAUGUGAAGGAGAGAAAUUGCGACUCACUUGCCCACAAAAGACAUCUAUCAGCAUCCUUUCUGCUUUUUAUGGUCAUAAAGUCCCUGAUGAAAACUUUUGUCCAACUCUAAUUGGCAUCCCUGAGAAAAUGGGCCUGUAUUUCCUGUGUGGUGUCUCUGGAGGCCUUAUCUUUCUAUUACGCAUCUUUACUUCCAAAAUGAUCUUUGUCCAAGAAAUGAAAGAAGUUUCUGGGUGUAUAAAUUCCAAGUUGGGCAAGAAAAAGCUACAGGAUCAGGAAGAAGAAGAAAACCACAAUGAUGACAGUUCUUCUGGUUCCUCUUUCCAUCACUUUACGUACACCUAUCCAUCCUUGAAUAGCAUGUUUUGCCCUGAGCUGACUGCAGCUUUAGAGCAUUCAGCUAACGGAAGAAAGAGAUGA
rnacentral:lncRNA from 1 species